CAAUAGCGUAUAUUAAAGUUGUUGCAGUUAAAAAGCUCAUAGUUGGAUUUGUGGCUGUCACGGGCGGCCUAUCACUUAGUGUUAGUGCUUGCCUGUGUCGCCAUCCUUGGGUGGAGCCCGUGUGGCAUUAGGUUGUCGUGCGGGGGAUGCCCAUCGUUUACUGUGAGAAAAUUAGAGUGUUCAAAGCAGGCUUAUGCCGUUGAAUAUGUUAGCAUGGAAUAAUAAGAUAGGACCUCGGUACUAUUUUGUUGGUUUGCGCACCGAGGUAAUGAUUAAUAGGGACAGUUGGGGGUAUUCGUAUUUCAUUGUCAGAGGUGAAAUUCUUGGAUUUCUGAAAGACGAACUACUGCGAAAGCAUUUACCAAGGAUGUUUUCAUUAA
rnacentral:rRNA from 1 species